rnacentral:rRNA from 1 species
AUUGAACGCUGGCGGCAUGCUUUACACAUGCAAGUCGAACGGUAACAGGUUAAGCUGACGAGUGGCGAACGGGUGAGUAAUGCAUCGGAACGUGCCCGAUCGUGGGGGAUAACGCAGCGAAAGCUGCGCUAAUACCGCAUACGAUCUGAGGAUGAAAGCGGGGGACCGUAAGGCCUCGCGCGAUCGGAGCGGCCGAUGUCAGAUUAGGUAGUUGGUGGGGUAAAGGCGCACCAAGACAACGAACUGUAGCUGGUCUGAGAGGACGACCAGCCACACUGGGACUGAGACACGGCCCAGACUGCUACGGGAGGCAGCAGUGGAGAAUUUUGGACAAUGGGCGAAAGCCUGAUCCAGCAAUGCCGCGUGCAGGAAGAAGGCCUUCGGGUUGUAAACUGCUUUUGUACGGAGCGAAAAGGCUCUCUCUAAUACAGGGGGCUCAUGACGGUACCGUAAGAAUAAGCACCGGCUAACUACGUGCCAGCCACCGCCGUAAAAC